CCUCUUUCGAGCCAUUCGACUACCACGCAAAAGCUACAAGCUGUCGCUGUCGCGGGACUUUGGAGCAAGACGGUGGGAACGGCAGUCGUCGUACUCUGUCAUUUGCAUGUUAAAAGGAGUCUGGCCUUCGUCUCGCUGCUCAACUCCCAGCAAAGUCUAAUUCAGGGCCAUGUGAUGGGCUUGCACCCAGUGCUAUUGGAACAGGCUUUAUUCCUUGCGCAUCCCUGGAUUAGAUUAAGCAUGUCUGAGAAUGAUAUGGCAUGU